CCUACGGGCUGCACCAGUGAGGAAUAUUGGUCAAUGGGCGCAAGCCUGAACCAGCCAUGCCGCGUGCAGGAUGACGGUCCUAUGGAUUGUAAACUGCUUUUGUACGAGAAGAAACACUCCUUCGUGAAGGAGCUUGACGGUAUCGUAAGAAUAAGGAUCGGCUAACUCCGUGCCAGCAGCCGCGGUAAUACGGAGGAUCCAAGCGUUAUCCGGAAUCAUUGGGUUUAAAGGGUCCGUAGGCGGUCUGGUAAGUCAGUGGUGAAAGCCCAUCGCUCAACGGUGGAACGGCCAUUGAUACUGCUGGACUUGAAUUAUUAGGAAGUAACUAGAAUAUGUAGUGUAGCGGUGAAAUGCUUAGAGAUUACAUGGAGUACCAAUUGCGAAGGCAGGUUACUACUAAUGGAUUGACGCUGUUGGACGAAAGCGUGGGUAGCGAACAGGAUUAGAUACCCGCGUAGUC
rnacentral:rRNA from 1 species